rnacentral:rRNA from 1 species
GAUGAACGCUGACAGAUUGCUUAACACAUGCAAGUCAACUUGAACUUCGGUUUGGGUGGCGGACGGGUGAGUAACGCGUAAAGAACUUGCCUCACAGAUAGGGACAACAUUUGGAAACGAAUGCUAAUACCUGAUAUUAUGAUUUUAGGGCAUCCUAGGAUUAUGAAAGCUAUAUGCGCUGUGAGAGAGCUUUGCGUCCCAUUAGCUAGUUGGAGAGGUAACGGCUCACCAAGGCGAUGAUGGGUAGCCGGCCUGAGAGGGUGAUCGGCCACAAGGGGACUGAGACACGGCCCUUACUCCUACGGGAGGCAGCAGUGGGGAAUAUUGGACAAUGGACCAAGAGUCUGAUCCAGCAAUUCUGUGUGCACGAUGAAGUUUUUCGGAAUGUAAAGUGCUUUCAGUUGGGAAGAAAAAAAUGACGGUACCAACAGAAGAAGUGACGGCUAAAUACGUG